rnacentral:misc_RNA from 1 species
AAACAAACCAGACUUCCAACAAGAGCACAGAAAUGGUUGAGGAUUUAAUAGAAGCCUACCCACAUCAUGCUACAAUUUAACAUUAGCAUCAAGAGGAGUGGAACAUAAUUUACUUUUGUUCAUAGAAAACCUCUCCAAUAUCUUCUUUGCAUAUGUGCUCUAAUUUACAAACUAUCCAUAUUCAACUUUAUUCACCUCCAAACCAAGAAAAAGACAUAACUCCCUCAAAAUUUUCAUGUCAAAUCAAAGAGACAAUUCAGCCCAAAGAUAAGACACUUCCAUUUCAUCAUUGCUAAUUAUAAUAUAUCAUCAACAUACAGAAGAACAAUAACAUGCAAGCAAUCUUGCUUUUUAACGAACAAACUAGGAUCUGAGUUACAAGAAUGAUAGCCACAAAAUUACAAAUGUUGUGCCAUUUUUCCAUGCUGAGUUCUUGGAGCUUGUUUUAACCCAUAAAGAGCCUUCUUUAGCUUACACGCAUAAUCUGGAUGAGCACUUGAAACAUAACCUCAUGGUUGUUCCAUGCAUAUAUCUUUCUCCAUCUCACCAUACAAGGAAGCAUUCUUGACAUCUAAUUGCCAUAACUUCCAACUAAGACUAGCUGCUAAAUAAAUAACAAUUUGAACAUAUGUCAUUUUUGCCACUGGACUGAAA